CCUUUGGUCCGCCACAGCUUCUGUCCCACCAACUGUAACAACUUCACAUUCAACAGCAACAUCCACAGUUACAGUAUUGCCUUCAUUAUACAUAUCUUCACAAGCAAAGAUUUGCUCCCAUUGUUGCUCGAGUGUCAUCUCAUAAUAGGUUGAAUGUUUCAUUUGAUCUUUAAGAGCUGUCCCUUCCUUGAUAAACAUGAAAGGGCAAUACCACUUCCCCGCUACUACAGGCGGGGAACAUUUUUGUGACACUGGGAAGUUGAAGUCCGGGAGGCGGGCGCGGAGAGCUGUGUUAAGGCCUGGUGCUUCAUUUAGCUGGAACUCCUUUGAAGUUGAGGUAUACACUCGCCAGCCCUUUCUCCUCAGGAAAUCUGGAGGAAACCCAUCUGAAGCUACGGAUUUAGCAGCAAAAUCUCCCCGUUUACGGUGUUGAAUCUCAAAUUGCUGAUAAAUGUUUCUUGGGUCCAAAGGUUGCGGUUUUAAAUCAGAUAUACGGGUGCAGAAACAGCAUGUUUUCAUAUCCUCUUCCUUGGAGUUUAUGUAAGCUUCCCUGAAAGCCAAUAUGAGUGUGGAUUUAUUAAGAAUUGGCUAAUUAAAACGAGCGAGAAAAAAAAAAGGAAAUGUUUGCGCCCAUUUUCUUAAUCCAGAAACGCAGCGGUGAUUCAUAUGUUAGGUUCCCAGCUGACGCAAUCUUUCCAUGUUGUUUGAGAUCUUGAAUUGAUUUCAAAGAUAUAGAGGAUAUGGGAAAAAAAAAAAGCAAAAGAAAAACAAAACAAGGUGAAGUUGGAGGUAGAGCACACACAUACCCUUUAUGCUUCCCUUUUCUCUCAACCACGUAGUAUUGAUUGGAAGAUAAUGGCUGAUUGAGAACAGGAGUGAAAAGAACACGGUUCGUAUGAACGUGUUGAUUCUCCCCAGUUUGCUGCGUAUACGUAACCAUCAAGUUCUUGUUUUGAGGAAAAGGCAGGCCCCAGCUUACUCGAUCACUCUUGAACAAUCCACAACAGAAGGUAGGCACUGCAACUUCUUCAUCCUGGAUUACCAAUACACCAGAAUUUGGACCCUCGGGAGGCGGUGAUGAAAGAGCUGAAGGAUCUCUUAGAUACAUCGAAAGAGGCCUUGUCACAUACAUUUCCUCUCAAACUUUUCUCUGCGUAUAGUGACCAAGCAAAAAUUCUUUAUCUUAUCCUUAAUUUCAAAUGUUGUUUUAGGAGUCAAAUCAUAAUUUGUCAAACUAUGGAGAAUUAAAAUGUAAUUUUUAUAUAUCAGGACCAAACUGAAAUUUUAUAAUUUUCAACCGUGAAACUACUUUAUCUAGAAUUUCUAGCAAAGAUUGUUCCAAAUUUCUUAGCCAUUCUUGCCCAUGACACAUCAAAGAAACAAAUCAACCUCAUGUUAUUAUCCCUAACAAAAUCAUUCAAAAUCAAUUAAUUUCAACAUUAACCCAUAUUAAUCAUCAAUUAUUGAAACUUAAAAACAUAAAUUUCAAAUAUUUAGAAACAUUAACACGUUAAAAAAAAAAAUGUAAUGAGCAACAAAAACAAAAAUCAUGUAUAUCAAAUUACGAUCUCAACACAAAAACGUAAUUUAUCCAUCACUCAUGAUCCUUUUUUUCUUUUCCUUCCUCCUCUUUUUCUUUUGGUUUUCUCCGUUUCUGGUUUCUUCUUCUUUUUUCUUUUUUUAUCUCUCUCUAUAUAUCAAUCUAUGUGAAACGACUGACGUGUCCCCAACCAUUACCAACCACAUAAGGUUGUUCAAAUCGCGAUUUUAACACGGCACGGAAAAUACAAAACAAACUCGGAUCGUAAAAACAGAUCGUAAAAUCGUAAGGAAUUUUAAAAUAUAUUAACAAAAAAUUCAUGAUUCAAAUAAAAAUUCAUACAUAUACUAUACAAUUAAUUUUUUCGUAAAAUCAUUCUAUCAUUCCAUUAAUAAAAUCAAUUUCAUCAUUCCAUCAUAUACUAAAAUAGCAUCUUAAAACCAUUCCAUCAUUCCACAAUGCCAUACAGACACAACUAAUUCAAUCCAAUCCAAUCCAAUAGUCCACAGUAUACUGUUCCAUCAAUUCCAUUUAAUUCAUUCCAUCAAUUCAAGGGACAGAAAAACAUUAUAAAUGGACAAAUUACAGGACCGGCAAAAUCAUUCCAUCAAAAAUGUAUAAACGCCUGAAGCAGAAAAAUUAUUUGAUUAACAAUUGUAGCUAUGAAUUCCAGCAAGGUUCAUACAACAUCUACUCUCCAUUAUGCUAAACUUCUCAAGAAAAGAAAAUUAUGACUAUAUAUGAAGGGUUAGCACUACAACUCAAAGAAUCUUGUAGAUAAAAGAAGAUGGAAAGCCUAAAGAAUGAACGAGCAGUACAAAUAAAAAAGUAUAUUAGUACUUGAUAUCAGGAUUUUAGACUAAUAAUUUGUCAUGAUCUACAUAAGUUUGCAGUAACAGUUUCUUCUAGGGAGAAGAAUCUGAUAGCCUGUCACAAAGACAUUUGCAAUGUAUCAUCAAGCAUUCCCCAGUUCUUUUGUCGUCACAGAUUCUUCACAACUUGUCACUGCAUCACUUUUCAUCAAACCGACAGUCCACGUAUCAAAAUUUUGAAUACAUCCUAGGAAACAAAAUUCAUCCCAGAGUUAAGGUCAAUACAAUAGCUAGGCAAAAUGGAACACGUUACAAUCUAACUUUGAUUUUGAUCCAAAUUUUCAUGGAAGUGAACAAAGUGGAAAAUUAAAGAUAAAUGGUUGUACCUUGAUUGCAUUAGUGCUCUCUAGUUCAGUGAUUUUACCAUCUUCUUCAUGAUUUUCAUGUAGUGGCUCUUCGUUUGCAGGCAUUAUAAUUUAUUUUUAUUUUUUUGAUUUACGUGGGUAUCCGGGCCAGCUUGCGCGCACCACGACUAAUUUCACGGCUCGCUGAACAUCCUGCAAACCCAGUGAGCAUGUAAGGCACUGCGGGAGUGACAGGCGUACACGCUGAGGCUUGAACCCAGGAUGCAGAGGUAAGGAAACUCCUUGCCACCGCUGGGCUACAAGCCUCGGUGUCAGGCAUUAUAAUUUCAUUCCACCACUGGUUGAUCUUCGUCAUGUUGUUCCUCAUUUUCUUCAGCCACUAUUAUUAAACACCAAUUCCAAAAUUUUCAUUAUAAUUAGACCCAAUUAUCUUAAAGAACAAUUAAAAUUACACUACAAGAUUUAACAGUUUUACCGAUGAAAUUUUUCCGUCGGCGUAAUUAAGACACAUAUUCCAUCGGUAAUUAAUUUACCGACGAAAUCACCGACGAAAAUUCUCCGUCGGUGAAUUUUUGUCCGUCGGUAAAUCCGUUGGUAAUAAAAAAAAUAUUAUUACCGAUGGAUUUACUGGCGGAAUAGACGCGUCAGUAAAAAUAUUUUUUUAUUACCGACGGAAAGUUCCGUCGGUAAUUAUUUAAAAACAUUUUAAAAAAAAUUCAUUUUAUAAAAUUAUAAAAUAAUUAAAUUAACAUAAAUCAACAUUGCAUAAUAUAUACUCAAAAUGCUUGGGAAAAAAAAAGAAUAAGAAAAUCAACUCAAACAAAUUUGCAACAAAUAAAUAAAACAAAAGAAUUAAUUCAACUAAAAAAAAUCAUAUGAAAAAAAUGAAGUUCCAAUUGCUAAAAAUUUAAAAAUCCUAUAAAUAAAUCAACUAAAAAUUGAUCUCAUAUGAAAAAAAAAUCUCACAACAACAUUUAUACAAUUAUUAAGAACAAAAUCAAUUAAAAUAAAAAAAAACAAAUAUAGUGAAAAAAUCAUGAAAAAUAAGAAAAAAGAAAAAUCUUACCUUAAUGUACUUGCAAGUGAAGCUAAGGAAUUGUAAAGCAUAUUAAUUAAAAAAAAACUAAGAGGAUAAAAGAAGAAAGAAGAAGAAGACAUACCCGAGCAUGGAGGAAAAGAGAAGGAGAUGAGGAGAGAAAGAAGAAAAAGAAAUAGAUAUUGAUGUUUUUUACAUAUAGUGAAGAAGAAGAAGUAGAAGAAGAAGAAGAAGAAAUAAUGAGUCUGUCUCUUGUGAAAUAAGCGGAUUCAGGUUUUUUAUUGGGGCGCGUUACCGACGGAUUUACCGAGAAUAAUUGAAUAUUAAUAUUUUUUAAUUAUUCCAUUUAAUUUCGUAAAAAGUUUUCAGAAACCGCCAAAAAUUACCGACGAUUUUUCAAUCCGUCGGUGAUUCCGUCUGUAAUAUUUAAAUGAAAAUUUUAAAUCAAUUGAAUUUUUUCAGAAAACCGCCAAAUAACACCGACGAUUUUCAAUCCGUCGGUGAUUUUGUCCGUAAAGAAAACAAUUAACAGUGCAAUUGGAAGUGAACAGUUCUGGAGCUCUCUGGAAAAUACCGACGGAAAUUCCGUCGUAAUUCCCUUUGUAAUUGACAUGAUGAACAAUGUUCACAGUUUACCAACGGAUUUACCAAAUUACCGACGGAAAAUUCGUCGGUAAUUCGUUGGUAAAAAAUGACACGUAUCAUUUUUUUUGCUUUGUUUUAAUUUUUUUUCCCACGGUAAUUCCCUCGGUAUUUCCAUUUGUAUUUAUUGAUUUUCUGGUAGUGUUAACCCAAGAAUCCAAAAAAGUAAAAAAAAAUUAAUAAUAAUAAUAAUAAAAAAAACCACAUAUCUGCUUCUCUAUAAGUAUUUUAGAAAACCAUUUUAAUACUUCGGUGUGAGCUUACAACCAUCAAGCCUUAGACUGUUGAAGCAGUAAAUGGAGGGACAAUGAUUUGUUCUUCUCCACGUAAGGAUUUCAGGUCGACGAUGCAGGGAGUAAAAACCAGAGGCGAAAAAGAAAAAACAAAGCUUGGGAAUAAAUUCUUACCUUAUUCUCGAUAGCAAGCAAAACAAGAGGCACUGAGAGAGUGGAGAGUGAAAAGUGGAGAUUGGGGAUAAUUAGAUUCAGAAUUUCAAAUCUUAAAUAUUUAGCAGACAAUUAGUAAAAAUGGAGAGUAAAGAGUACUGCGAACAGGGAAAGGGAGGGGGUGGGGAAGGGAAAGGGGAAACUGGGGAAGGGGAAAGGGCAACGGGAAAGGGUGGAGGCGCUGCAACUGUUUUAUAUUUCACGUGAAAUCGUGAAAUCGGUUCGUGUUUAAUGUUUUUUCCGAGUUAGACUGAUUUUAUACAAGUUUGACCGGGUUUGACCGAUUUUACUGGUUUUUCAAGUUUUAAAUCCGAUUUUGCACGUUUUAUAUGUUUUGACUCGUAAAAUGGUAUGAUUUUACGAGUUAAAACGUGAUUUUGAUAAUCUUGCAACCACAGCCAUGCACAUAAGGGCAAUACCGUCUGUUUAUCCAAACUUACAUAAGCAUGCAUGAUUAAUAAGAAACUGGUCCCUAGUUAACUUCCAUAAAUGAUGAAGCUUUUCAGACACGAAGAUUCGUGAGAUUUCAUAAACAUUUGAAGACAUGAUGGAGCUCGUUAAUUUCUGGAUAUCAAGUAGCUCAAAAAUUCUGUUCGGGGAGUUGAAACAAAACGGCAAUCUUCCAUGCAAGUCAGAAAAGGUAUAGCGGGUUAACAAAAAAACUGAUGCUUAUAGCUACAUGAACCAAUCAAAACUUUUAAGGAGCAUAAAAGACUGUUCAAUCAUUCUCAGAUUGGCCUCAUAUUCCGACAUCUAUCAUGCAUGUAUAAUGUAUCGAGAGAGACCGAAGAGUUAGUAUUGUCAAUUAAAACCUAUUAUGAGGUUUGAUGCAAGCUUUGUGUCUGUCAAGAGCUUACAUUCAGCAGAACUAGACAUGCUAUUUGUGAAAGAUUGAACCUGCAGAGUUAGCUGUUGGAUAGUUUCCUUUCACUUUGAUUUAUUAUUUUUUUUGUAAGGUCCUUUGGCCUUCAAUUUUUGGAUGUUGCAGAUAAUUUUGUUUUCACAUCAGUCCAAUCACUGAAAAUUGAUUCAUUCCUUGAAAUGAUAAUUCUCAAUUCUCUAUAAAGGAUCUAGUCAUUUCCUCUUCCUUCCUUCCCUUUUCCUUGCCGAAAUCAUGUUUUUGUUAUUAGGCAUGGGAUGUUUCUUAAAGCAUUAUUUAUCCCAUUGUCUCAAUCUUCUCGUGUAUAUAUAGAGAGAUAAGGAAGAUAUCAAUCUGAAAAGUCAAUAGCACAGACAAUUUAGACAAGUAAUAAGAAUCCUACAAGAGGAAAAGUAGAUCAAAAGGUUCUGCAAUGUUGAUACUUGGUCAAACCGGUUGAUUUGUUAUAUUUAGUUUUAAAAAUGUACAAUAUUUGUCGCCAACAGUGCAGCUUUGGAUUUUGGAAUAUUGAUUCUUCCAGCCAAAAAACUAGGUUAUCUUAUUAGCUUAAUCGUUAUCUUAUUAGUGGGGGCAGAGGAAGAAUAUUAUGAUCAUCCGUGCCCAAUCGUUAUCUUAUUAGCUUUGAAAUCCGUGUCAUUGUGCAAUUUUAAUCAAUUUAUUAGCUCAACCUAUAAUUUCAAAAUAGUUUAUUCACUGCAAUCGCUUGAAUUAUAAAAAAAAAAAAAAAAAAAAAAAAACAUCAAGGCAGACCAAAGGGUUUUUUUGGUGUGCAGUAAUGCAGUUUUGUAAUGUUUUUCAAAGACAUUUUUUAUAUCUUUUAAUUUUUAACCUUAACACAUCAAAUUAAUUAAAAAUAUUAAAUAAAUAUUUUUUAAAAUAAAAAUAAUUUAAAAAAACUACUACAACCACGGUAUCAUAGAUAGGCUAACACUACACAUCUUAUAACUGAAAUGGUACCACGUGUAACAUAUGAAUACAGCAAAAGAGAGGAAAAACAUAAAACAUUCUCAUUCUUCCCAGUACAUUAAAUCCCUCAACCAACACAUAGCAUCCAGAUUUCCUCUCUCUACCAAUCCCACUUGCUCACAAAUUGUUAAAAAUAAAACCAUCUGCUCCUUGUUUUUUUUAUUUAUAUAUAAUUCUAAUUGAUUAAAAAAAGUAAAAACGAGGCAUAUAUAUAUUUUAUAAUUCCCAUCCGCUUCUAAUGCGAUGAGGAUGCCUGAAAUCAUAGGUCAGCAAUAAGCUUCCAUCCAUUCUCUUCAAGGCAAACCUCUCAACCAAAACAUAGCAACCAAAUCUCCUCCACUUCCCCUUGCCAUCAAAAACCUCUUCUCUCUUCACCCUCACCUCCCUUUCAUCCCCGCUAGCACCCCCUACUCCUUGCACCCACUUCAUUCCCUCCACAAUCUCCAUUCUCAGUCCCACACUUGCUUCUGAUCCUGUCACUCUGUUGAAACUCCUGAACCACGUCACCCCAUCAACAACAUCCCUUUGGUCCGCCACAGCUUCUGUCCCACCAACUGUAACAACUUCACAUUCAACAGCAACAUCCACAGUUACAGUAUUGCCUUCAUUAUACAUAUCUUCACAAGCAAAGAUUUGCUCCCAUUGUUGCUCGAGUGUCAUCUCAUAAUAGGUUGAAUGUUUCAUUUGAUCUUUAAGAGCUGUCCCUUCCUUGAUAAACAUGAAAGGGCAAUACCACUUCCCCGCUACUACAGGCGGGGAACAUUUUUGUGACACUGGGAAGUUGAAGUCCGGGAGGCGGGCGCGGAGAGCUGUGUUAAGGCCUGGUGCUUCAUUUAGCUGGAACUCCUUUGAAGUUGAGGUAUACACUCGCCAGCCCUUUCUCCUCAGGAAAUCUGGAGGAAACCCAUCUGAAGCUACGGAUUUAGCAGCAAAAUCUCCCCGUUUACGGUGUUGAAUCUCAAAUUGCUGAUAAAUGUUUCUUGGGUCCAAAGGUUGCGGUUUUAAAUCAGAUAUACGGGUGCAGAAACAGCAUGUUUUCAUAUCCUCUUCCUUGGAGUUUAUGUAAGCUUCCCUGAAAGCCAAUAUGAGUGUGGAUUUAUUAAGAAUUGGCUAAUUAAAACGAGCGAGAAAAAAAAAAGGAAAUGUUUGCGCCCAUUUUCUUAAUCCAGAAACGCAGCGGUGAUUCAUAUGUUAGGUUCCCAGCUGACGCAAUCUUCCAUGUUGUUUGAGAUCUUGAAUUGAUUUCAAAGAUAUAGAGGAUAUGGGAAAAAAAAAAAGCAAAAGAAAAACAAAACAAGGUGAAGUUGGAGGUAGAGCACACACAUACCCUUUAUGCUUCCCUUUUCUCUCAACCACGUAGUAUUGAUUGGAAGAUAAUGGUGAUUGAGAACAGGAGUGAAAAGAACACGGUUCGUAUGAACGUGUUGAUUCUCCCCAGUUUGCUGCGUAUACGUAACCAUCAAGUUCUUGUUUUGAGGAAAAGGCAGGCCCCAGCUUACUCGAUCACUCUUGAACAAUCCACAACAGAAGGUAGGCACUGCAACUUCUUCAUCCUGGAUUACCAAUACACCAGAAUUUGGACCCUCGGAGGCGGUGAUGAAAGAGCUGAAGGAUCUCUUAGAUACAUCGAAGAGGCCUUGUCACAUACAUUUCCUCUCAAACUUUUCUCUGCGUAUAGUGACCAAGCAAAAAUUCUUUAUCUUAUCCUUAAUUUCAAAUUUGUUUUAGGAGUCAAAUCAUAAUUUGUCAAACUAUGGAGAAUUAAAAUGUAAUUUUAUAUAUCAGGACCAAACUGAAAUUUUAUAAUUUUCAACCGUGAAACUACUUUAUCUAGAAUUUCUAGCAAAGAUGUUCCAAAUUUCUUAGCCAUUCUUGCCCAUGACACAUCAAAGAAACAAAUCAACCUCAUGUUAUUAUCCCUAACAAAAUCAUUCAAAAUCAAUUAAUUCAACAUUAACCCAUAUUAAUCAUCAAUUAUUGAAACUUAAAACAUAAAUUUCAAAUAUUUAGAAACAUUAACACGUUAAAAAAAAAAUGUAAUGAGCAACAAAAACAAAAAUCAUGUAUAUCAAAUUACGAUCUCAACACAAAAACGUAAUUUAUCCAUCACCUCAUGAUCCUUUUUUCUUUUCCUUCCUCCUCUUUUUCUUUUGGUUUUCUCCGUUUCUGGUUUCUUCUUCUUUUUUCUUUUUUAUCUCUCUCUAUAUAUCAAUCUAUGUGAAACGACUGACGUGUCCCCAACCAUUACCAACCACAUAAGUUGUUCAAAUCGCGAUUUAACACGGCACGGAAAAUACAAAACAAACUCGGAUCGUAAAAACAGAUCGUAAAAUCGUAAGGAAUUUUAAAAUAUAUUAACAAAAAAUUCAUGAUUCAAAUAAAAAUUCAUACAUAUACUAUACAAUUAAUUUUUUCGUAAAAUCAUUCUAUCAUUCCAUUAAUAAAAUCAAUUUCAUCAUUCCAUCAUAUACUAAAAUAGCAUCUUAAAACCAUUCCAUCAUUCCACAAUGCCAUACAGACACAACUAAUUCAAUCCAAUCCAAUCCAAUAGUCCACAGUAUACUGUUCCAUCAAUUCCAUUUAAUUCAUUCCAUCAAUUCAAGGGACAGAAAAACAUUAUAAAUGGACAAAUUACAGGACCGGCAAAAUCAUUCCAUCAAAAAUGUAUAAACGCCUGAAGCAGAAAAAUUAUUUGAUUAACAAUUGUAGCUAUGAAUUCCAGCAAGGUUCAUACAACAUCUACUCUCCAUUAUGCUAAACUUCUCAAGAAAAGAAAAUUAUGACUAUAUAUGAAGGGUUAGCACUACAACUCAAAGAAUCUUGUAGAUAAAAGAAGAUGGAAAGCCUAAAGAAUGAACGAGCAGUACAAAUAAAAAAGUAUAUUAGUACUUGAUAUCAGGAUUUUAGACUAAUAAUUUGUCAUGAUCUACAUAAGUUUGCAGUAACAGUUUCUUCUAGGGAGAAGAAUCUGAUAGCCUGUCACAAAGACAUUUGCAAUGUAUCAUCAAGCAUUCCCCAGUUCUUUUGUCGUCACAGAUUCUUCACAACUUGUCACUGCAUCACUUUUCAUCAAACCGACAGUCCACGUAUCAAAAUUUUGAAUACAUCCUAGGAAACAAAAUUCAUCCCAGAGUUAAGGUCAAUACAAUAGCUAGGCAAAAUGGAACACGUUACAAUCUAACUUUGAUUUUGAUCCAAAUUUUCAUGGAAGUGAACAAAGUGGAAAAUUAAAGAUAAAUGGUUGUACCUUGAUUGCAUUAGUGCUCUCUAGUUCAGUGAUUUUACCAUCUUCUUCAUGAUUUUCAUGUAGUGGCUCUUCGUUUGCAGGCAUUAUAAUUUAUUUUUAUUUUUUUGAUUUACGUGGGUAUCCGGGCCAGCUUGCGCGCACCACGACUAAUUUCACGGCUCGCUGAACAUCCUGCAAACCCAGUGAGCAUGUAAGGCACUGCGGGAGUGACAGGCGUACACGCUGAGGCUUGAACCCAGGAUGCAGAGGUAAGGAAACUCCUUGCCACCGCUGGGCUACAAGCCUCGGUGUCAGGCAUUAUAAUUUCAUUCCACCACUGGUUGAUCUUCGUCAUGUUGUUCCUCAUUUUCUUCAGCCACUAUUAUUAAACACCAAUUCCAAAAUUUUCAUUAUAAUUAGACCCAAUUAUCUUAAAGAACAAUUAAAAUUACACUACAAGAUUUAACAGUUUUACCGAUGAAAUUUUUCCGUCGGCGUAAGACACAUAUUCCAUCGGUAAUUAAUUUACCGACGAAAUCACCGACGAAAUUCUCCGUCGGUGAAUUUUUGUCCGUCGGUAAUCCGUUGGUAAUAAAAAAAUAUAUUACCGAUGGAUUUACUGGCGGAAGACGCGUCGGUAAAAAUAUUUUUUUAUUACCGACGGAAAUUCCGUCGGUAAUUAUUUAAAAACAUUUUAAAAAAAUUCAUUUUAUAAAAUUAUAAAAUAUAAAUUAACAUAAAUCAACAUUGUAUAAUAUAUACUCAAAAUGCUUGGAAAAAAGAAUAAGAAAAUCAACUCAAACAAAUUUGCAACAAAUAAAUAAAACAAAAAUUAAUUCAACUAAAAAAAUUCAUAUGAAAAAAAUGAAGUUGCAAUUGCUAAAAAUUUAAAAAUCCUAUAAAUAAAUCAACUAAAAAUUGAUCUCAUAUGAAAAAAAAAUCUCACAACAACAUUUAUACAAUUAUUAAGAACAAAAUCAAUUAAAAAUAAAUAAAAAACAAAUAUAGUGAAAAAAUCAUGAAAAAAUAAGAAAAAAGAAAAAUCUUACCUUAAUGUACUUGCAAGUGAAGCUAAGGAAAAAAAUUUGUAAAGCAUAUUAAUUAAAAAAAACUAAGAGGAUAAAAGAAGAAAGAAGAAGAAGACAUACCCGAGCAUGGAGGAAAAGAGAAGGAGAUGAGGAGAGAAAAGAAGAAAAAAUAAUAUUGAUGUUUUUUACAUAUAGUGAAGAAGAAGAAGUAGAAGAAGAAGAAGAAGAAAUAAUGAGUCUGUCUCUUGUGAAAUAAGCGGAUUCAGGUUUUUUAUUGGGGCGCGUUACCGACGGAUUUACCGAAUAAUUGAAUAUUAAUAUUUUUUUAAUUAUUCCAUCUGUAAUUUCGUAAAAAGUUUUCAGAAACCGCCAAAAAUUACCGACGAUUUUUCAAUCCGUCGGUGAUUCCGUCUGUAAUAUUUAAAUGAAAAUUUUAAAUCAAUUGAAUUUUUUCAGAAAACCGCCAAAUAACACCCAGAUUUUCAAUCCGUCGGUGAUUUUGUCCGUAAAGAACAACAAUUAACAGUGCAAUUGGAAGGUGAACAGUUCUGGAGCUCUCUGGAAAAUACCGACGAAAAUUCCGUCGGUAAUUCCCUUUGUAAUUGACAUGAUGAACAUGUUCACAGUUUACCAACGGAUUUACCAAAUUACCGACGGAAAAUUUCGUCGGUAAUUCUGUUGGUAAAAAAUGACACGUUAUCAUUUUUUUUGCUUUGUUUUAAUUUUUUUUCCCACGGUAAUUCCCUCGGUAUUUCCAUUUGUAUUUAUUGAUUUUCUGGUAGUGUUAACCCAAGAAUCCAAAAAAGUAAAAAAAAAUUAAUAAUAAUAAUAAAUAAAAAAACCACAUAUCUGCUUCUCUAUAAGUAUUUUAGAAAACCAUUUUAAUACUUCGGUGUGAGCUUACAACCAUCAAGCCUUAGACUGUUGAAGCAGUAAAUGGAGGGACAAUGAUUUGUUCUUCUCCACGUAAGGAUUUCAGGUCGACGAUGCAGGGAGUAAAACCAGAGGCGAAAAAGAAAAAACAAAGCUUGGGAAUAAAUUCUUACCUUAUUCUCGAUAGCAAGCAAAACAAGAGGCACUGAGAGAGUGGAGAGUGAAAAGUGGAGAUUGGGGAUAAUUAGAUUCAGAAUUUCAAAUCUUAAAUAUUUAGCAGACAAUUAGUAAAAAUGGAGAGUAAAGAGUACUGCGAACAGGGAAAGGGAGGGGUGGGGAAGGGAAAGGGGAAACUGGGGAAGGGGAAAGGGCAACGGGAAAGGGUGGAGGCGCUGCAACUGUUUUAUAUUUCACGUGAAAUCGUGAAAUCGGUUCGUGUUUAAUGUUUUUUCCGAGUUAGACUGAUUUUAUACAAGUUUGACCGGGUUUGACCGAUUUUACUGGUUUUCAAGUUUUAAAUCCGAUUUUGCACGUUUUAUAUGUUUUGACUCGUAAAAUGGUAUGAUUUUACGAGUUAAAACGUGAUUUUGAUAAUCUUGCAACCACAGCCAUGCACAUAAGGGCAAUACCGUCUGUUUAUCCAAACUUACAUAAGCAUGCAUGAUUAAUAAGAAACUGGUCCCUAGUUAACUUCCAUAAAUGAUGAAGCUUUUCAGACACGAAGAUUCGUGAGAUUUUCAUAAACAUUUGAAGACAUGAUGGAGCUCGUUAAUUUCUGGAUAUCAAGUAGCUCAAAAAUUCUGUUCGGGGAGUUGAAACAAAACGGCAAUCUUCCAUGCAAGUCAGAAAAGGUAUAGCGGGUUAACAAAAAAACUGAUGCUUAUAGCUACAUGAACCAAUCAAAACUUUUAAGGAGCAUAAAAGACUGUUCAAUCAUUCUCAGAUUGGCCUCAUAUUCCGACAUCUAUCAUGCAUGUAUAAUGUAUCGAGAGAGACCGAAGAGUUAGUAUUGUCAAUUAAAACCUAUUAUGAGGUUUGAUGCAAGCUUUGUGUCUGUCAAGAGCUUACAUUCAGCAGAACUAGACAUGCUAUUUGUGAAAGAUUGAACCUGCAGAGUUAGCUGUUGGAUAGUUUCCUUUCACUGUUUGAUUUAUUAUUUUUUUGUAAGGUCCUUUGGCCUUCAAUUUUUGGAUGUUGCAGAUAAUUUUGUUUUCACAUCAGUCCAAUCACUGAAAAUUGAUUCAUUCCUUGAAAUGAUAAUUCUCAAUUCUCUAUAAAGGAUCUAGUCCAUUUCCUCUUCCUUCCUUCCCUUUUCCUUGCCGAAAUCAUGUUUUUGUUAUUAGGCAUGGGAUGUUUCUUAAAGCAUUAUUUAUCCCAUUGUCUCAAUCUUCUCGUGUAUAUAUAGAGAGAUAAGGAAGAUAUCAAUCUGAAAAGUCAAUAGCACAGACAAUUUAGACAAGUAAUAAGAAUCCUACAAGAGGAAAAGUAGAUCAAAAGGUUCUGCAAUGUUGAUACUUGGUCAAACCGGUUGAUUUGUUAUAUUUAGUUUUAAAAAUGUACAAUAUUUGUCGCCAACAGUGCAGCUUUGGAUUUUGGAAUAUUGAUUCUUCCAGCCAAAAAUACUAGGUUAUCUUAUUAGCUUAAUCGUUAUCUUAUUAGUGGGGGCAGAGGAAGAAUAUUUAUGAUCAUCCGUGCCCAAUCGUUAUCUUAUUAGCUUUGAAAUCCGUGUCAUUGUGCAAUUUUAAUCAAUUUAUUAGCUCAACCUAUAAUUUCAAAAUAGUUUAUUCACUGCAAUCGCUUGAAUUUAUAAAAAAAAAAAAAAAAAAAAAAACAUCAAGGCAGACCAAAGGGUUUUUUUGGUGUGCAGUAAUGCAGUUUGUAAUGUUUUUCAAAGACAUUUUUUAUAUCUUUUAAUUUUUAACCUUAACACAUCAAAUUAAUUAAAAAUAUUAAAUAAAUAUUUUUAAAAUAAAAAUAAUUUAAAAAACUACUACAACCACGGUAUCAUAGAUAGGCUAACACUACACAUCUUAUAACUGAAAUGGUACCACGUGUAACAUAUGAAUACAGCAAAAGAGAGGAAAAACAUAAAACAUUCUCAUUCUUCCCAGUACAUUAAAUCCCUCAACCAACACAUAGCAUCCAGAUUUCCUCUCUCUACCAAUCCCACUUGCUCACAAAUUGUUAAAAAUAAAACCAUCUGCUCCUUGUUUUUUUUAUUUAUAUAUAAUUCUAAUUGAUUAAAAAAAGUAAAAACGAGGCAUAUAUAAUUUUAAUAAUUCCCAUCCGCUUCUAAUGCGAUGAGGAUGCCUGAAAUCAUAGGUCAGCAAUAAGCUUCCAUCCAUUCUCUUCAAGGCAAACCUCUCAACCAAAAUAGCAACCAAAUCUCCUCCACUUCCCCUUGCCAUCAAAAACCUCUUCUCUCUUCACCCUCACCUCCCUUUCAUCCCCGCUAGCACCCCCUACUCCUUGCACCCACUUCAUUCCCUCCACAAUCUCCAUUCUCAGUCCCACACUUGCUUCUGAUCCUGUCACUCUGUUGAAACUCCUGAACCACGUCACCCCAUCAACAACAUCCCUUUGGUCCGCCACAGCUUCUGUCCCACCAACUGUAACAACUUCACAUUCAACAGCAACAUCCACAGUUACAGUAUUGCCUUCAUUAUACAUAUCUUCACAAGCAAAGAUUUGCUCCCAUUGUUGCUCGAGUGUCAUCUCAUAAUAGGUUGAAUGUUUCAUUUGAUCUUUAAGAGCUGUCCCUUCCUUGAUAAACAUGAAAGGGCAAUACCACUUCCCCGCUACUACUACAGGCGGGGAACAUUUUUGUGACACUGGGAAGUUGAAGUCCGGGAGGCGGGCGCGGAGAGCUGUGUUAAGGCCUGGUGCUUCAUUUAGCUGGAACUCCUUUGAAGUUGAGGUAUACACUCGCCAGCCCUUUCUCCUCAGGAAAUCUGGAGGAAACCCAUCUGAAGCUACGGAUUUAGCAGCAAAAUCUCCCCGUUUACGGUGUUGAAUCUCAAAUUGCUGAUAAAUGUUUCUUGGGUCCAAAGGUUGCGGUUUUAAAUCAGAUAUACGGGUGCAGAAACAGCAUGUUUUCAUAUCCUCUUCCUUGGAGUUUAUGUAAGCUUCCCUGAAAGCCAAUAUGAGUGUGGAUUUAUUAAGAAUUGGCUAAUUAAAACGAGCGAGAAAAAAAAAAGGAAAUGUUUGCGCCCAUUUUCUUAAUCCAGAAACGCAGCGGUGAUUCAUAUGUUAGGUUCCCAGCUGACGCAAUCUUUCCAUGUUGUUUGAGAUCUUGAAUUGAUUUCAAAGAUAUAGAGGAUAUGGGAAAAAAAAAAAGCAAAAGAAAAACAAAACAAGGUGAAGUUGGAGGUAGAGCACACAC
rnacentral:lncRNA from 1 species